rnacentral:rRNA from 1 species
UUAUUAGUGGCAGACGGGUGAGUAAUGCGAUAGGAAUCUGCCUAGUAGUAUAGGAUAGCCACUAGAAAUGGUGGGUAAUACUGUAUAAUCCCUGCGGGGGAAAGAUUUAUCGCUACUAGAUGAGCCUAUGUCAGAUUAGCUAGUUGGUGGGGUAAUGGCCCACCAAGGCUGUGAUCUGUAGCUGGUCUGAGAGGAUGAUCAGCCACACUGGAACUGAGACACGGUCCAGACUCCUACGGGAGGCAGCAGUGGGGAAUAUUGGACAAUGGGCGCAAGCCUGAUCCAGCUAUGCCGCGUGAGUGAGGAAGGCCUUAGGGUUGUAAAACUCUUUCAGUAGGGAAGAUAAUGACGGUACCUACAGAAGAAGUCCCGGCAAACUCCGUGCCAGCAGCCGCGGUAAUACGGAGGGGGCAAGCGUUGUUCGGAAUUUAA